rnacentral:rRNA from 1 species
UACGUAGGGUGCAAGCGUUAAUCGGAAUUACUGGGCGUAAAGCGUGCGCAGGCGGUUUUGUAAGUCUGUCGUGAAAUCCCCGGGCUCAACCUGGGGAAUUGCGAUGGAGACUGCAAGGCUAGAAUCUGGCAGAGGGGGGGUAGAAUUCCACGUGUAGCAGUGAAAUGCGUAGAGAUGUGGAGGAACACCGAUGGCGAAGGCAGCCCCCUGGGUCAAGAUUGACGCUCAUGCACGAAAGCGU